UAGGGAAUCUUCGACAAUGGACGGAAGUCUGACCGAGCAACGCCGCGUGAGUGAAGAAGGUUUUCGGAUCGUAAAGCUCUGUUGUUAGAGAAGAACGUUGGUAGGAGUGGAAAAUCUACCAAGUGACGGUAACUAACCAGAAAGGGACGGCUAACUACGUGCCAGCAGCCGCGGUAAUACGUAGGUCCCGAGCGUUGUCCGGAUUUAUUGGGCGUAAAGCGAGCGCAGGCGGUUCUUUAAGUCUGAAGUUAAAGGCAGUGGCUUAACCAUUGUACGCUUUGGAAACGGGAGGACUUGAGUGCAGAAGGGGAGAGUGGAAUUCCAUGUGUAGCGGUGAGAUGCGUAGAUAUAUGGAGGAACACCGGUGGCGAAAGCGGCUCUCUGGUCUGUAACUGACGCUGAGGCUCGAAAGCGUGGGGAGCAAACAGG
rnacentral:rRNA from 1 species